AUAAGAAAGAUGUACAAGGAAAUAACAACAGACCAAGGUGUAAUUCUAAUGAAACUGUCAAUGAAAUCUAAAUUCUGUCUGAGAAACACUUGUCUGUCAUGAAAGUGUGAAAUACUGUACAGCUAUAUUUGGAGAAUACUGAGUGACAUUAACUAUACGUUUCUUGUAUUAUUGCAGUAUCUCAAGAACAGUGCUGCUUUUGCCAAGAUCAUCACAACAUGAACUUUACUGAUGCUUUUGGAGAUUCCAAGGAAUGUUGGAAACAUACAACUCGUAAAUAGCUGGGAGAGUCCAAAUGGCGGAGAAGGUUUCCAGAACUUGACUCAUGAGGAAGCCAGGGUCCAGGAAUCAACUGAGUGCUGAUUGAUCAACUGAGAAAAGAACUGACAGACUGGCUUGUCACGUGAAGCAGACAAAGUACUGGAGAAACUGACCCAAAAUCACCCAGAUAGCUUUCACAUCUAAGGCUGAACCAGAACUCACAGCUGCCUGAUUUCUAACCUGGUGCCUUAACCCCCAGACGAAACUAGCUCUCCAAAGUAAUUAUUCUACAUUUAUAUUAUUUCACCAUCAGAAAGCUUUUUCCUUAUAUUAAAAUAAAGCUAC